CCUAAUAGCCUGCUUCCUAGGUGCUAGGAUUGCAGACCGUGCCACCGUGACCAUCUUUCAUGGUCACUGGGGAAGUGGGGAUUGAGGGCAGGAGUGGAGCUGUCUCUCUCUCUGUUCAGUCUUGCCUGGCCUCAAACUCACCAUCCUCCUGCCUUAGCUCUCAACAGCUGGGAUUCUAACCUCAGUCAGGAACAGUUUUGUAGCCGUGUUCAUUUAUCUGUCUAAAAAGCAGUUUGGUGCUAUGCCAGGUAUGAGGAAAAUACUGGGACAGGAGCAAGGCGGGAGGGCUCUGCCCUAGUUUUCCUGGGCCCCGAUGGAUCCUGGAGAGAAGGCCCAAACAGGCCAGCUCUCUGCAGCUGAAAUGGGUGAUAUUUCUGAGUACAGCUUCCCCCGACUUAGUUUCUCAGUGCUCCCUGCUGUGGUUCAAGCCCGUCAGCUGCUCCUUGCCCAGGGGAGGAAGUGCGUAGCCAAAGCAAAAAUAGAGGCAUUUGCCCUGCACUCCAGGAGCUGACAGCUAGCAGAUGCAAGAUACUUAUUAGAAGAUUCCUCCAGAGCUGCCAGAGGGGAAACUUGAAAAGAGGGUUAAUGUUGGAGGGGCCAUGAGCCUGCUUUCUGGGAUACUUCAGGGAGGUCAUGGCGCCCUAAAGGUGAAAUCCUUUAGGUGAAGUCCACAGCCACUUUGCCUUGCUUCCCCCGAGCUCCACAUGGAGGGCACAAAGGAAAGGCUCUGUGGUAUGUCUAAAUCCUACUCUAGUCCUCCUGUACCCCACCCCCUCAGGCACAGACCGCAGCCUCUACUGCUUCCCAGGACACACGAAUCUGGGGCAAUCUAAAUAUAACGACAGCCAAUGGCCAGUGACCCACCUGCACUUGGCAACAAAACUCUUCAGGGCAAAGAGACCAUGACUUUGAUGUAGGUUCCAGCAUCCUCGAAGGAACAGAAGCUUGAGCUGGAGAUCAGUGAGUAGUUUUAAAAUGAAACUUUCUGUCUUUGGUAUCAGAGCUGUCUAAGUUUAUUAGCACAAUAGCCAAGGUGUGAGACCAGUCCGCACAUGAGUGGAAGGGGAAAAUGCAGUCAGGUUCCCAAGGAAAGUUUAUUUUGGGUGUCAAAACAGUGAAAUUAAAGCCUUUGGUGGAAAAUGGGUCGAACUGGAAGUCAUCACCACGCCAGACAAAACAAAUCCACUCAGGAAAACAAAGAAUGCAUGUUUCCUCUCACACGCAGAAUGGAGAUUUAAACUUGCAUGUGUGUCGUAUGUCCAUGUGUCUGAAUGCAUGUGCUCAUCCGUGGAGGACAUGAAAGUACAAUGGGGUGUCCAAGAGGGAGAGAAGACAUCAUCUGAAAGACAACGGAGUCCGUGUGGCACAGAAGCAGGAAGGGGGCUGAAUCAGUCGAGGCUCUCUCAAGGGAGGAAAGCAAUAGGGUAAACACACACACUUCACCACACAUACUUUCAAGACUCCAUUAAGUCAGCUUUAUUUAGUAAGGUCAGAACCAUUCCUGACCGCUGAGAGCACUCGUUUCAGGUUCUUGAGGCUGGCUGUCUCAGCGGGUGGCAGAGUCCCACAAUGGCUGUCUCUCGCUGAGCAAGGUCUGACAAUGGAUGGUUGCUCAAAGCAUCAGAAACCUUCUGCCAGUGAGGUUUCAUACGCAGGUGAUUGUAAUUUGCAGUGAGUCGACCUUAAAACCAACGGUAGUGAACGUCACCCUGUGGGUCUGUUGGGAGUUAAAUGAGAUGGUGCAGCUAGAUCCGGAAUUCGGCGCUCAGGAGAGCUCAGAGGAUGGCCUUCCUGGUUAGCCGGCAUUCAUCAGGAUGACAGCUCACUGUGCUGUCACUCUUCCUGGGUGGUUUUUUUAUUUCACAUUUUCAUAACAGUCUCUGAUGAUUUCAUUCGAAGGAGGAAGGUCUCUGGGAGUUUCCUGUGUGCACAAUGGGGUCACCAGGUUUCCCUAGGCAUGUACCCAAGGAUGCCACCACCAUAUUUGCUUUGGUAUUUAAAAUAAAGGCCACACUGAAUCUCGUGCUUUCGUUGUAACCAAA